GCUGAUAUGGGGGUCGUGAGGGUCAUUUUUUAAACGGACUUGCAACUCCUGAUGGAAGCACUUAAUAUCAAUAAGGUGGACUCGUCGGCCUAUACUACUGUUAUUGAGGAUACCAAGUACCUGCUCAAAUUAUGGUUUUCUUAUUACGAAAUUAAUGUAUGUCGUCGCUUGGCAAACUCUGUUGCUCAUAUCUUGGUAGGAUGUUAGAAUCUAACCAGUAUUUGGAAUGGGAGGCCGAUGUACCAACCUUUGUGGCUGCCUGUGCUUUCGGUGAUUCAGCCUAGCACCGUUAAGUUAAAAGCAAUGUUUUUUCUCAAAAAAAGAAGCUUUUAGUAGAUGUACUUGUGGUUAUGCCUUAGACAUUUACACUUGUAUAGUUGUUCUGAUCCCUUAGUUACAUGCUUCCUGACACAGUAUUAGCCAAUGAGACUGGAAUAAUUGUAUGGCGUAUCUUACGUUCGACUCAUUAACUAGAACUUUUUUUAUUUCUUGAUUGCAGGAACCAAAGAACUAGCUGGACUGGACACUAUAUCACGGGAAGUUUAGUCUUCGAAGUUAAUUAGGAUGGCUAAAUUACAUUUGAGUUUCAUUUGAUGGAUAUUUUCUAUGAGAAUUAUGAAUUUUAUGAAUCUACAUAUUAUACGUAUGGUUUUGAAUAUUGUAAUCGAAAGCCUGUAUUUUUUUUACGGUUGCAAUAGACUAUUACCACAACCCACUUUUGGUUGCCAUAUGCUAGCACCACUAAAAAUAUAGUGUUGCGUCAUAUCUC
rnacentral:lncRNA from 1 species